GGAUUUCUUCUCAUCUUAGUGGCGGACGGGUGAGUAACGUGUGGGCAACCUGCCCUAUACUGGGGAAUAAUCACUGGAAACGGUGACUAAUACCGCAUGUCAUCACCGGAGGGCAUCCUCUGGUGAAAAAAAGGAGCAAUUCGGUAUAGGAUGGGCCCGCAUCUGAUUAGCUAGUUGGUGAGAUAACAGCCCACCAAGGCGACGAUCAGUAGCCGACCUGAGAGGGUGAUCGGCCACAUUGGGACUGAGACACGGCCCAGACUCCUACGGGAGGCAGCAGUGGGGGAUAUUGGACAAUGGGGGCAACCCUUAUCCAGCGACGCCGCGUGAGGGAAGAAGGUUUUCGGAUUGUAAACCUCUGUCAGUGGGGACGAUAAUGACGGUACCCACGGAGGAAGCCACGGCUAACUACGUG
rnacentral:rRNA from 1 species